rnacentral:lncRNA from 1 species
UAGGCAUUAAAAGUGUGCACUACCCCACCACGACUCUCACUUAGCCAAAAAUUUGAUGAUAAAGCCAUUUGGUGGAAGGACAAACAAUCCUAUAGUUUGAAAAUAGUGGUUGUUUGGAAUGUUUUUCUAUCAUGCAUAACACAGUACCUUUUCCCAAUUAAUAUGAUUGACUGUUUUAAAAGAUAUAGUUGGGGUGUGUUAAGCAGCUUGUCUAAUUUUAGCCUUGGGUAGAGACAGGAGCAAGAGAUCAAAGUGAGAAAACUAUUUUAUACAUAGUUUAAUAAAUGUCUAAAGUAUUUUAGUUUUUAUAUAAGAAUUUUCUAAGAAACCCUUACCUCCUGCAUUUCUGUGUAUGUGUAUGUGCUUUGCCUGUGUUUAUGUGUAUGCAUCAUGUAUAUGAUGUGUCCACAGAGGUCAGAAAAGAGGGCACAUCUGGAACAGAUGGUUGUGGUGCCAGGAAUUGAACUUGGGUCCUUGAGAAGAGCAGCCAGUGCUCUUAGUUACUAAGUCCUCCUUCCAGCCCCACUUUCUCUUUUAAACAAUUGGGAAGACUUUUUUAUAGGUAUUUUGAAGCAGAUGAAGAAAAUAGUUCUUUCUAUAUUCGAGUAUCCAAAAGUAGUAGUGUGGCAGUCAGGCUGUGUUUGGCUGCUUUGGAUAACAGUUAAGUAAUCUGAAAUUAGCUUACAGUCCUCAAGUAUUUAUUUGCCUCUUAAUUUAUAAGAGUUUGUCGGUCCUCGUUAACCGGAUGAUUUUGUUCAUGUUUGGUAUGUGGUCAGUUUAGUUCCUGCCAGACUGGUCUGAGCUCCUUUUCAAUUAUCCUGAAAGUUUGCCUUCAUAAGCUCAUCCUGGCUGUGAGUGCUUCCCUGGUGUUCUAAUGCACAUGUAGUGUGAAACAACUACUUACUUUUGGUGAGGCAGUUGCUUUCAGUCCAUUUUAAACACUGUUCUACUAAUAGCCUUAACAUAAUUUGGACUAGUCAUUUGUUAAUAUUUUGCUGCCCUUGGGGAAAGUUUAUACUCAAAAGUAUAUUUGAUAUUUUCUAACUUUAAAUUAAAAUUUAACAGAAAUAUCUGUUAAUUCUAUUAACAACACUAGUAGCAGAGAAAUAAGGGCACCAUUGUAAGGGGCUGUGUUAUUAGCAGCCUUGGGAACAGGCAGUCCCACUCUUAGUGUGUCAGGCUCAUGAUUGUUGAGAAUCUUUGCUUCGUAGUAAAAUUUCUCAUGAGUAGUUGGGAGUUGGCUGUAAUAAUUUGCCAUUUGAGACUGAUUAUUUUUAAAUGUACUUUUAUUUAAAAUAAAAGUAUAAAACUAA